CUGGUUUGAUUGGAUGACCAGUCACACUGGAACUGACACACGGUCCAUACUCCUACGGGUGGUAUCAGUGGGGAAUUUUGGACAAUGGGCGAAACCCUGAUCCAUCCCUGCCGCGUGUGUGAAGAAGGUCUUCGGAUUGUAAAGCACUUUUGGUUGGAAAGAAGGGCCGUGGGUUAAUACCUCGCUAAUUUGACGUUACCUGCAUAAUAAGCACCGGCUAACUUCGUGCCAACAACCGCGGUAAUACGAAGGGUGCAAGCGUUAAUCGGAAUUACUGGGCGUAAAGCGCGCGCAGGUGGUUCGUAAAGUAAGAUGUGAAAUCCCAAUUCUUAACCUUGGAACUGCCUUCUUAGCUGGCAAGCUAGUGUUUGGCAAAGGGAGGUGUUAUUCCCUGUGUAGCCUUCAAAUGCUAAAAUACGGAGGAACACCCGUGGCGAAGGCUUCCUCCUGGUAUAAUACUGACACUCAUGACAAAAGCGUAGCAAGCAACAAGAUCACAUCCCUGCUAGUCCACCCCCAAACAACACCAAUACGUCGGGUCUUGCAUCCGCAUUUCACAAACUAGAGUAGAGAGAGUGGGGGGGAGUUUGCUUUCCGACUGUUGCAUUAGUAGAUAUAGAUAGGAGCAGGAACGGCGAUGGGCGACGCUCUUGGUCUAAUUAUUACUCUGACGUUCGAAAGCGUGGGGGGGGGGACGCAAACAGGUAUCGAUGUUGUGCUAAUAAGUGAACCCCUUGGCGAGUAGGGCCCCAAGGUAAAAAUUCAACUCAAAUGAAGGGGCCCCGCCCAAGCGGUGGGGCAGAUGGUUUAAUUUGAAUCAAUGCAAAGAACAUAACCUGGCCUUGCCAUGCAAAGAACUGUCUAGAGAAGAGAUUGUGCCGUGGGGACAUGUGAAACAGACCAACCUCAUCCUUAGUUACCCAAACCGGAGGAAGGUGGGGAUGACGUCAAGUCUUCAUGGCCCUUACGGGGGGGGAAACAAAAAAAAUACAAUGGUUUUUUCAAAGGGUUGCCCAGCCGCGAGAAGGGGGAAAAAAGGAAAACCCUAUGGGUUUCUGGGGGGUUUUACCCGGGCUCGGAAAGGGGAAAAAAGGUAACCAGUAAGGGUUCCUCAGGAGUUUGCCCCGGGCUCGGAAAGUGGUAACAAGGUAACCAGUAUUG
rnacentral:rRNA from 1 species